UCUAGUCAGAACAACCCAUGGAGGGCCAGC
rnacentral:piRNA from 1 species